rnacentral:rRNA from 1 species
CUGGUUUCGCCCGAAGUGCGUGCGCCAACCGCAAGGAGGCAGUCUACCACGGUCGGGUUAGCGACUGGGGUGAAGUCGUAACAAGGUAGCCGUAGGUGAACCUGCAGAAGGAUCA